CAGACAUCCAAACUUAGCAGUGCUACACAAGAUGCAUUCAGUGAACCUGAAGGAAUUAAUCCACGAACAGGCUGCUCUUUGUCUCAGCGCGAUGAAAGGAACUCCUCUGAGGAAGACCUAUCAGAUCUCUCAGAACUUUCUAAAAGGGCUGCGUCUUUGAACAUUGGAUGUGUAAGUGAAGAUGAAUCACUAGCUGAAAUCAGGCUUUCCUUGUUGGAUCACCAGAGUUGGGAAAAGACAGGCCAAGAUGAAGGUAUUCAGAAUGAUGUCGAAGAAUGGUGCAAUGCCUCAGAAGACAUUUUGCCAUAUAAGAUGGAAAAUAUGAUUGGAUCUGCAGCCCUAGAUGCCAAUGGCUUCCUGCAUCAUCUUGUACCUGCCUUCUUGAAAGAAAAGAAGACAUCAGAUACUUACUCAAAUAAUGGAAUAGCUGAUCAGCAGAGUAUCUACACAAUGGUAAGUUAUCCAUGAUAAAAGAACAACUUUUUCAUGCAUUAUAUGUG
rnacentral:lncRNA from 1 species